rnacentral:rRNA from 1 species
GAUCCUGGCUCAGAUUGAACGCUGGCGGCAGGCUUAACACAUGCAAGUCGAACGGUAACAUAAAGGAGCUUGCUUCUUUGAUGACGAGUGGCGGACGGGUGAGUAAUGCUUGGGAAUCUAGCUUAUGGAGGGGGAUAACUACGGGAAACUGUAGCUAAUACCGCGUAGAAUCGGGAGAUGAAAGUGUGGGACCUUCGGGCCACAUGCCAUAGGAUGAGCCCAAGUGGGAUUAGGUAGUUGGUGAAGG